CUGAAAUUGCGCCAAAAAAUCGUGAGAUGUUUGUGGUAUUUAGAAGCUGGCUUAUUUGGAAUAUCUGUCCAGCUCAAAAAUGGCUCCAGCGGUUAGAAACAGGUGAUGGCAUGGCAGAAUGGCUUUAUGGAAACUUCAAGCAUAUGACAGCUUAAUUUUCUUCAACAAGGCUGUGAGACCAGUUUGCAGGUGAUGCUAAAGUUAUCAGAUCUACAGCACCAGUUGAUAUACAGCCAACACUUAUUGUCUAGUUCAUUGUCAAAAGAAAUGUUUGUGCCUCUCUUGUUACAACAGCUGGCUUAUUUGGAAUAUCUGUCCAGCUAAAAAAUGGCUCCAGCGGUUAGAAACAGGUGAUGGCAUGGCAGAAUGGCUUUAUGGAAACUUCAAGCAUGUGACAGCUUAAUUUUCUUCCACAAGGCUGUGAGACCAGUUUGCAGGUGAUGCUAAAGUUAUCAGAUCUACAGCACCAGUUGACAUACAGCCAACACUUAGUGUCUAGUUCAUUGUCAAAAGAAAUGUUUGUGCCUCUUUUGUUACAACAGCUGGCUUAUUUGGAAUAUCUGUCCAGCUCAAAAAUGGCUCCAGCGGUUAGAAACAGGUGAUGGCAUGGCAGAAUGGCUUUAUGGAAACUUCAAGCAUGUGACAGCUUAAUUUUCUUCCACAAGGCUGUGAGACCAGUUUGCAGGUGAUGCUAAAGUUAUCAGAUCUACAGCACCAGUUGACAUACAGCCAACACUUAGUGUCUAGUUCAUUGUCAAAAGAAAUGUUUGUGCCUCUUUUGUUACAACAGCUGGCUUAUUUGGAAUAUCUGUCCAGCUCAAAAAUGGCUCCAGCGGUUAGAAACAGGUGAUGGCAUGGCAGAAUGGCUUUAUGGAAACUUCAAGCAUGUGACAGCUUAAUUUUCUUCCACAAGGCUGUGAGACCAGUUUGCAGCCUUAGGUCAUGCUCCCCAUCAUAUGUCCCAUGCAAGCCCAACCCAGAAAAUGCACAGCUAACAUUCACGGUGAUGCUAAAGUUAUCAGAUCUACAGCACCAGUUGAUAUACAGCCAACACUUAGUGUCUAGUUCAUUGUCAAAAGAAAUGUUUGUGCCUCUUUUGUUACAACAGCUGGCUUAUUUGGAAUAUCUGUCCAGCUAAAAAAUGGCUCCAGCGGUUAGAAACAGGUGAUGGCAUGGCAGAAUGGCUUUAUGGAAACUUCAAGCAUGUGACAGCUUAAUUUUCUUCCACAAGGCUGUGAGACCAGUUUGCAGGUGAUGCUAAAGUUAUCAGAUCUACAGCACUAGUUGACAUACAGCCAACACUUAGUGUCUAGUUCAUUGUCAAAAGAAAUGUUUGUGCCUCUUUUGUUACAACAGAUCCAGCAAUGUGAAGCGAGGGGCCAUAAUGUGUAAAGAGGUCUUAACCUCAACUGCGUCUGCUGAAGAAAUGCUUCUGUCCAAUCGCUAGACUACUGGCAAAUGAGAUGAGGUGUAGAAUGUUGACAAAAACCUCACAUCCAGGCUGCAAGUUGGUGUUUUAACAGCUGGAGUACGUGUGUGUUUUGCGUAACUGCUGCUCUCACAACUCGUGUACCCAUGGAAAGGGAUUGUCCUUGGCGUUCCUGUUUGAACUAUAAACUUGGCUAUUUAAUAAAAUGCUAAUUAAGUGUUUCUGAUUAUCUGUUCUAUUAAUAAAGCUGUGACUUAUCUUA